rnacentral:lncRNA from 1 species
AGUCAGAGGAAGGCUCAGAAUGCAUCCAAGUAUGUAGCUUUUGUAUGCGCUCAUUCUCCUGAUUCAUUUCCCUCUAUUGAUCCUACUUUUGAACCAUUUGUUUGUGAAGGUAUAGUGUCAUUAUCUGAAUCAGAUUCAAAUCCUAAACCGGUACGUAUUCUUCGGGAUACUGGUGCUGCACAAACCUUCAUCUUGGCAGAUGUGCUUCCAUUUUCAGCACAAUCUAGUUGUAACUCAGAAGUGCUAGUUCAAGGAAUAGAACUUGGUGUGGUAAGAGUUCCUUUGCAUACUGUGUACUUGCGUUCAGACAUUGUGACUGGUUCAGUUAAAGUGGCUGUACGUAAUGAACUACCAGUGAGGGGUGUAGUUCUAAUUCUUUGGAAUGAUUUGGCUGGAAGUAAAGUUGUUUGUCUUCCUGAAGUUACUGAAGUCCCUAGUGUAUCUCAGGAUGAUGUGUUAAUUCAAAAAUUUUCCAGCGUAUUUCACUCAUGUGUUGUUACUCAUGCACAGGCUCGUAAAUUCGACAGUGAGAUUGAUCUCUCUGAUUCAUUCAUGAAUUCAAAUGUUGGUGACACUGAAGACACUAAUGUGGAAGCUUGUAGGCCUAUACAAAAUUUGAAGCUGGAACCUAAGUUCGAUUUCCCAUUUGACAAGAGACAGUUGAUGGAGGCACAAAAUGCUGAUGAUACCUUGAAGUCCUGUUUUUCUGCAGCGGUUGACAAAGCUGAGAUAGCUGACCAGAAAACUGCGUACUUUAUUGAUGACGGAGUGCUAAUGCGUAAGUGGAGACCUGAGAGCUUAAAGCAAGAUUGAAUCUCUGUGUUCCAAGUAGUCGUUCCUAAGUCAUAUCGAGAACAUGUACUGAGUGUGGGGCAUGACCAUGAGCUGUCCGGACAUUUGGGUAUUAAGAAGACCUACCAUAAUCUUCUUAAACAUUUCUUCUGGCCCGGAAUGAAGUCUGCCGUUACCCAGCAUUGUCAAUCGUGUCAUGAGUGUCAGGUUGCUGGAAAACCAAACCAGGGUAUUUUUCCAGCUCCCUUGAAACCCAUUCCUGUAAUGAGUGAACCAUUUGAGAAACUAGUUAUUGAUUGUGUCGGUCCUUUGCCAAGAACUAAAUCUGGUCACUCAUAUUUGUUAACGCUGAUGUGUUCUGCUACUAGGUUCCCUGAAGCCAUUCCUCCACGUUCAC